GACGAACCGUGCGAACGUUGUUCGGAAUCACUGGGCUUAAAGGGCGCGUAGGCGGGCGGGCAAGUCAGGGGUGAAAGCCCACGGCUCAACCGUGGAAGUGCCUUUGAUACUGCCGGUCUCGAGGGAGGUAGGGGAGCGCGGAACUUCCGGUGGAGGCGGUGAAAUGACGUAGAUAUCGAAAGGAACACCGGUGGCGAAAGCGGCGCUCUGGGAUCUCUACUGACGCUGAGGCGCGAAAGCCAGGGGGAGCAAACGG
rnacentral:rRNA from 1 species